GCACCCUUGGUCAAUCGGUUAAGACGUCCGCCUCUCACGUGGGAAUGACGGGUUCGACUCCCGUAGGGUGUACCA
rnacentral:tRNA from 1 species